rnacentral:rRNA from 1 species
AUUGAACGCUGGCGGCAUGCCUUACACAUGCAAGUCGAACGGCAGCACGGGAGCAAUCCUGGUGGCGAGUGGCGAACGGGUGAGUAAUAUAUCGGAACGUGCCCAGUCGUGGGGGAUAACGUAGCGAAAGCUACGCUAAUACCGCAUACGAUCUACGGAUGAAAGCGGGGGAUCGCAAGACCUCGCGCGAUUGGAGCGGCUGAUAUCAGAUUAGCUAGUUGGUGAGGUAAAGGCUCACCAAGGCAACGAUUUGUAGUUGGUCUGAGAGGACGACCAGCCACACUGGGACUGAGACACGGCCCAGACUCCUACGGGAGGCAGCAGUGGGGAAUUUUGGACAAUGGGCGAAAGCCUGAUCCAGCAAUGCCGCGUGCAGGACGAAGGCCUUCGGGUUGUAACUGCUUUUGUACGGAGCGAAAAGCUUUGGGCUAAUACCCUGGAGUCAUGACGGUACCGUAA